UUAGAUAUUUUUUUAUUUCUUUUUUAGAAUCUUUAAAACAUCUGUUAUUGAAUUUUAUUGUUGCGUAUAUGCGUAGCCUGGUAAACAAUUUUAACAAAUAUUCUACCGGAAAACAAGAGCACGGAGUUUGUGGAGCUUUCAGAAGAAUUUGGCAGAAAUCAAGUUCACAAUUAGCAACAGGGGAAUUUUUCAACAUGUUGCAAAAAAAGAGCUUGGAAAAAGCUCUUCGGAACUGGAUGGGUGUAGGUUCAGUGCAAGAGCCACCUUGCUGCCUAAUUGACCCAAAAAAGUUUUCAAGAGCGUCUUGAUUUAGUCUUCGAGUAAAUAAAUACUGAAAUCCGUUUUCUUUGA